rnacentral:rRNA from 1 species
CCUACGGGAGGCAGCAGUGAGGAAUAUUGGUCAAUGGACGCGAGUCUGAACCAGCCAAGUCGCGUGCAGGAAGACUGCCCUACGGGUUGUAAACUUCUUUUGUAAGAGAAUAAAGUGAGACACGUGUGCCUUUCUGUAUGUACCUUACGAAUAAGGAUCGGCUAACUCCGUGCCAGCAGCCGCGGUAAUACGGAGGAUCCGAGCGUUAUCCGGAUUUAUUGGGUUUAAAGGGAGCGUAGACGGGCUGUUAAGUUAGUGGUGAAAGUUCGCGGCUCAACCUUAGAAUUGCAUUUGAUACUGGUAGGCUAGAGAACAGUUGAGGUAGGCGGAAUGUGUGGUGUAGCGGUGAAAUGCUUAGAGAUCACGCAGAACACCGAUUGCGAAGGCAGCUUACCAAGCUGCCACUGACGUUGAGGCACGAAAGCGUGGGGAGCAAACAGGAUUAGAUACCCGUGUAGUC